GGAAGUCUUACAAAAAUAAAGGAUAACAAUAAAGCGAAUUAAAUAUUAUUCCUUGGCGCCAUCAAGCUGACUGGGAGAAACCACCUAGAUGAUCUCGUACUCUUCGUUGUAGGGCUCCUCCUGGACCACCUAUUCUUCUCCUGUGGGGGGUUUAUAUAUCACAAGGGUGAGCUCACAAAAGAUCAUAGCUCAACAAGUUGUGGGGAAUAAUGUGCAUAAACUCACCAAAGGUGGGAGUUCAUGUGAAGUGUCAGGCUGAUCCACAAAUAAGAGUUAAAGCUAAGCAUUGCUUUUAAUAAGUUGGUCAAAUUUUAUUAGCUGUUACUAAAUAUAAGUAGAUACCAAACCAGAGCAAUAAUAGAUCAAAAUUAAUAAUAAACUACAAUGUGAUGCAAAUGACAAAUUGAAUUUAAUUUCAUAAAUUAAUCAUGCGAGAGUCUUGAGAUGCUCAUGAUAGCGAGCACAGCUAGUAUACCAGUUUUACAUUCUGCAGAGAUUGUACCCUAUACCCACAAGUCCCGUCUAGCCUAGGUUUGCAAGGCCAUUAGAUAGUGCCGAGGUGAAUGGCUAGAGAUCCACUACGAGGCCUUUACAAAGUUCCACUAGCUUCAGAAAACCCACUACAGUUUCUAGGAAGAGCAAUGCAGGAAUGCCCCGUCUGACCGCCAUCGCAGCAAAAUCAACCCGAGAACCUCCCUACACACCUACUCCCCUACUGCCCUUGCCCCUUUCGGGUAAGGCAAUCCUUCACUAGCUUUCCUAGUUAGUCAGCCAAGGGCAUUCCAUUCCACCCUUGUGAUGGCACGUGUUUCUCAAGUUAAGCUCCAUGUUCCAAUUAACAUAAUAGUCUUAUCAUGAACAGAAAUAGAACAAUAAUUAAGAAUGAUCAUGUGUAGUAGUUAUCUCAACACCCAAAACCAUAUAUAGCAAUAGCAAAGACUACCCAAAAGUUUAGGGGUAAACAAGAUGUAAUGGUAACCAGACAAGGGUGGCCUAUUGGCCCCAUCAAAAUUAAGCCUAUGCAUGAUAAAAUGGUUAUAUAGAACACUAUUGGGUAAAUAAAAGUGGUCAAGGGCACAACUUGCCUUCAAUGAGCUCCUGCUCAGCAACUUCUACCUGUUGAACACCUGGAUCCUUAAUCACUUGCUUGUCUACUCGCCACAAAACAAACAAACAUGGUACAAAGGAUAAAUUAGCAUCACACCAAACAUGAGUAUAGAAUACAUAAUAAUAAUCUACGCAUUGUAACGAGAUCAUAGGAACAAGAAUAACUAAAUUUGGAUUUAUAGAUUUCAAGUUAUGAUUUUCCGAAGGUUUUAUGUGUUUGGUACGAAAUUAAUUAAGGAAUCAAUUCUAAUAUAGGUUUCAUGCUAAAACAGAGGUACUAAGUGGUAAACAAUAUUAAUACAAAAUUAUAGGAACUGGAAUGGAUUAAAAAGGAGUUAGAAUGAAUUUUCUAGGAAUUAAACAAGUUUCUACAAUUAUUUUUACCUUUUCGUAAUGUAUUUAUCUAGUUUUCCAUUUCUGUGGGCUGCGCGCAACAUUAACAGAAAGCAAAGGUGCUACUAUGCAAAAGUCCUCAGACUCAGAACGCCUUGCGCUGGACUACAGGUUAUUUCUAAACAGGGAUGUGGUCUCUUUUGUAAAGUCUCACGGCCGAAGGGGUAUCCGUUGUCCAGGCCAACCCGAUCUGAAAUCAAGGGAUCAUAUUAGAUCCCGAUCGCCCCGUGAAUCGUUAAGGCCUUGUUCGGUUACAUGGGAUAUAAUCCCAUCAUGGAUUUAAUCCGGGUAUGGAUUGGGUGAAUCCAUAUCUCACACUCAAUCCCAUGGUGGGAUUAAAUCCAUCAACAAAUCCAUGUGACUUUCAAAGCUAGUUAUUCUUUUGAUCCAUGGAUUCUAAUGUAAACUUGUGCAAUAUCUCAUGGAUUUGUUCCAUACCUAAUGGGCUAUGGAUAGAAUCCAUGUCUUCCAUAGUUUAAAAAAUUCUCAAACCUUUAGGUUAUAUUCCAUGAUGGGUUUAACCGAAUAAAAAAAAUUAAGUAGUCAUGGAUUAUUUUGGGGCAUGGAUUGAGGCAUGGAUUUAAUUCUAAUCCAUGCUAAUCCAGAGCGGGAUUGGUGUAAACGAACAAAGCCUAAGUCAGACUGGUCACUGGAUUAAGAAUCAAUAGUGCAGAUCCUAAGUGAACCAGAUCGACUGAGAACCGACCGAUCGCCGAUCGACGGCCCACGACUGAUUACCGAAACAUUACGGCUGGAUAAGAUCCUACACGUUCAUCAUAGAAUCAUUGGCUCAGAUGUUGCCCAAUCCGAUUGAAUCGAUGCCGUUGGUAAGCGAUCCAACGGUCUCGCCCCAGCCACGCCCAUGUGUUCAUGCCAGUGGCGGUGCGCCCAUAAAACACGGCGGCGCUAGCGCCAGCCACAAGCCGAUUUCCUAAUCCCUGCCUAGAACACGAAUCCGAUGCUUCCAACACGAAGCCAGGACUGAGAUGAGAGCGUGGAUGGACUUGUUACCGAGAGCUGUGUAGCCACUUCUUCUCUCCCUAAGGUUAUGCGGAUCCACG
rnacentral:lncRNA from 1 species